GCCGCACGCUAGGGGUCCUGAAGGCAACAGUCUUCGGGUGAGAUAAAACCCUCCGUACCUGACCUGGAUAAUGCCAGCGUAGGGAAGCGCACAAAGUCCACG
rnacentral:ncRNA from 1 species